UCUCACCAGGGCCCUGUACAGCUGCAGAAGGAACUCUUUGCUCCUGUACUCAACUCCCCUUGUUAUAAAGCUUUCUUUUGUUUUUUAAAGUGAGUAACAAAUUACGUAUUUAAAUGAAGUACAGAAUAAAUUCCAACACUACGACAACUAAUAGGAACUAACGCAGUUUUGUCAACGGAGAAAUUCAUCCAGUGUACACUGAGCAGGAGGUGUUGGAGAAACGGAAAAAUUGCAGAGAGACUUGGUCGGUUUAGGAGAAGGGGCCAAGAAAUGGCAGAUGGGAUACAACGUUGAGAAACGUGCGGUUGUACAUUUUGGAAGAAGAACCAAUCGGGCAGAUUAUUAUUUAGGUGGGGAGAAAAUUCAGAAAUCGGAAGUGCGAAGGGACUUGGGGGUCCUGGUGCAGGACACCCUAAAGGCCAACCACCAGGUUGGAUCGGCAGUGAGGAAAGCGAAUGCAAUGUUGGCAUUCGUUUCAAGAGGAAUCGUGUAAGGAGGUGUUGACGAGACCCUAUGGGGCACUGGUGAGACCCCAUUUGGAAUACCGAGUGCAGUUUUGGGCCCCCUGUCUUAGAAAGGAUGGGCUGAUGUUGGAGAGAGUUCAGAGGAGAUUCACGAGGAUGAUUCCUGGAAUGCGGGGACUAACAUACGAGGAGCGUUUGUCGGCUCUUGGACUGUGUUCGUUCGAGUACAGAAGAAUGAGAGAGGAUCUCAUAGAAACAUUUCGAAUGUUGAAAGGGUUGGACAGAGUAGAUGUGGAAAGGCUGUUUCCCUUGGUGGGUGAGACCAGGACAAGAGGCCACAGUCUUAGAAUUAGAGGGCACCCAUUUAAAACAGAGAUGAGGAGAGAUUUUUUUAGCCAGAGGGUCGUGGAUUUAGGGAAUUCGUUGCCACGUACAGCUGCGCAGGCCCGAUCACCGAGGGUGCUUAAGGAGGAGAUUGACAGGUAUCUGAUCAGUCAGGGUAUCGAGGGAUAUGGGGGGGGGGGAAAGCCAGAAAUUGGAACUGGACGGGAGAAUAGUUUAGCUCAUGGUGGAGUGGCGGAGCAGACUCGAUGGGCUGAAUGGCCUACUUCUGCUUUGUCUUGUGAUGCAUUCUUUUGAUUGACUGUAAAUGAACGAAAUCAGCGCAGACGCCUAGUGCAGACAAUGGAAUGCCUUCAAACAAUGUUUUCGAUGGACGCAUCCUCCGAUCUUCAUUAUAGUACACAAGGUGUCCCAUCCCCCGGAAGAGGUGGAGAGCAAAGAGCUGGCACUGUCACCCAGCCUGCAUCGAUGGCCCUGAUGGGAGUUAAGUUGAUUGUCAGAGCCUGCGGACGUUGACAGCGUGUGGUGUAAAUGUCCGUGAUGGCGGGAAGAGAGACCCCGAUGAUCUUCUCAGCUGACCUCACUAUCCACUGCGAUCCGAGAUGGUGCACAACCUAUCUAUAUUUGUAAUUAUAACUUACCGGGAGAGACGGCUCUGAAGAGCGGAGCGGAGGAGCUGGAGGGACCGUACGCCUGCCCGACCUGGAGCCCGCUGCACCCUGCCGACUCGGGCUGCAGAGAGAACAGGGUUCACUGUGGACGCCGACGGCAGAACUCAUGGCCUAACUUUGAGAGACUCUUCAAUGCAAACACCCACGUCAGGAAGCGGUUCUCUCCAGUCCAGCAUCCGACGCCAACAUUCCUGCAGUCCUGACUGAAAGGCGACAGGGCCUGGGCCUCUGUACCUCCCUCUGCCACUGGAUCCUCAGCUUCCUAACCGGAAGACCACAGUCUGCGCGGAUUGGCGAUAGCAUCUCCUCCUCGCUGACGGUCAACACUGGCGCACCUCAGGGGUGUGUGCUCAGCCCACGGCUCUGCUCUCUCCGUACCCAUGACUGUGUGGCUCGGCACAGCUCCAGUACAGUUCGCUGAUGUCACAACCGUUGUUGGUGGAAUCUCAGGAGGAGGGG